rnacentral:rRNA from 1 species
AUGGCUGUUGAAGUUCAGCAUCGCCAUGAUGUGUAUUGUUUCUCUAUUUUCCUCAUAUUGCCAUGUUCCCAAUUUUACAAACUGCUAUGUGAUGCACAAUGGCCACGCCACGCACUGGUGAGAUUCAAGGUGCAGUCGAGCAAGAGUCAGUUCGAGGUGAGGUGUCUCACGUCGAUCUCCUGCUGCUCACCAGCGAGGCUCGCUGACGAGCGGCCAGAUCCACACGAGGUGGAUAUCACACACACGGCCCUCUCCCCUCCAUCCUUUCUCUUUCCUACAACUAUUAUGUCUUUGUACCUUGUUAUAUUGCUCUUUCAUCCAUGGUGA